UUGCCCGAACGCAUAUGCGUUCCAUAUCGGCGUCUUUGGAUGUGUGUGUGUACUAAUAAUGAGCCAGGGCCUGCAAGCGGGAGCCUAACACCGCCUACACCACCACUAAAUGGAACCGCUGAGAAAUCGAGACUCAUCAGACCAGGCAACAUUUUUCCAGUCUUCAACAGUCCAAUUUUGGAGAAUCUACAAAUAAAAUCUGUUUAUGGCUGAAGUCCAAGGAGAGAGAGAUGGAAGCGACACUUUCGUUAUGCUGAAUCCUGCCAAAUACAAAAAACAAUGUUGUCAAUAAAAUGGACCUUUUUACGUACAUGACAUUUAAAUGACAUUUAAAUUAGCUGUUUGUGUAGACAUAUUUCUCCUCAAACCCAUUCAUGUACAUCACUGCAAAGGUUAGCGCUAUGUUACAGCCCAUAGCUGUUCCAGUUCUCUGUAAGUAAAACCUGUUUUUAAAUACAAAAUAAUUGUUCUUCAGCAAAGAGUAAUUGUAAAAUUAAAUUAUCUUCCUGGGGGAAAAGUCUUUGUGUGUUUCCAUCCCCUCUUUUACAGAAAACAUGACUUCUUAUGUGGGAAUAUUCAUAGAGGCUUGAUAAGUCCAUAGUCAUUAAGACACUCUUCCCAAUUCAGGACCAGAUUUAUAAUUUUAUCGUGGAAGUCCUUAAUAUCGCUUAAAAAAUACUUCUCCAUUGGGUAUAUGGAUGUCAACAGCAAUCCAACAUCUUGGAUGUGGGUUGGAAAAGAGAAUUACAUCCAAACAGUAUAUGCCUUCCUGGAGGAUGUCCAAGUCCUUGUGAAUCUUAAAGAGAACCCGUCACAUUGGACAUGUUGUCGGAUUUGAAGGCAGCAUAUUAUAGAGCAGGAGAGGCUGAGCAGAUUAAUCCAUAGUUUUUGGGAGAAGAUUCAGUUAAAUUUGCAAUUUAGACAUUUAAAUUUCUGCUUAUUCUGAGUUUUAAAGUCAAGUCGGCGCUCCUAUCAGUUAUUGACAGCUCUUUCUGUAUACACAGUAAUAAAGGGUAGGCUGUCAAUCACUGAUAGGAUCGGCUCCUUGACUUCAGAGCCCAGAAUAAACAGAAAUUUUAAUGAAUGAAACACAAGUUAUAAAAACAAUUUAUCAAAUUACUCAACUCCUUCUGCUCUACGCCAUGCUACCUGCAGAAUAAUUUGCAUUUUCAAGAUGACAGAUUAUCUUUACGAAAAGUAUGCUGUAUAUCCCCAGCAUUAUUGGA